rnacentral:rRNA from 1 species
GACGAACGCUGGCGGCGUGCCUAACACAUGCAAGUCGCACGGGACCUGGGGGCAACUCUAGGUUCAGUGGCAGACGGGUGCGUAACACGUGAGAAACUUGUCCGACGGUGGGGGAUAGCCGGCCCAACGGCCGGGUAAUACCGCAUACGAUCGUUCGGGGGCAUCCCUGGGCGAUGAAAGCAGCCGCAAGGUUGCGCCGAUGGAGAGUCUCGCGGCCUAUCAGCUAGUUGGCGGGGUAACGGCCCACCAAGGCAACGACGGGUAGCUGGU